rnacentral:rRNA from 1 species
CCGAACUAUCGUGAGCUGAUAUCUAUUUGCGUAGAGCUCAUUUUUUAAUGUUUCAAUAUUAUAAAAAAAAUAAAUAUCAGAGGCUACAUACCUACCGCACCUUAAUAUAGCUGGUUUCCUUAUAUCCCAGUAUAAGCUGUAAUAAUUGUAUAUUAUUUCAUCUUACAUUAAACAAUUAUUUAUAUUAAUUGAGGAUAAGCUCAAUUAACCCUCUUAUUUUACCAAAAUUAUAUACAAAAAGUAAGCUUAAAACCAGCCCCCUAAAACUCGUCACAGUACAUACUCAAUUACAAUUUUAUUUAAAAUAAAAUAUAAUGGAUAAUAUUUAGAAUUCUAAAAAUAUAUAAUCAUGCAAAAAUCAGUAUUAAUCUAAUUCAAUUUUUAACAUCCAAAUAUAACUAUAUAUUAUAUAUAUGUAAAGAAGGAACUCGGCAAAACAAGCUUCGUCUGUUUACAAAAACAUAGCUAUUGAAAAUUAUAUAAUAGGUAUAUAUCCUGCCCAGUGAGUAUUUCAACGGCCGCGGUAUCCUGACCGUGCAAAGGUAGCAUAAUCAUUUGCCUCCUAAUUAGAGGCUAGUAUGAAUGGAAAAACGAAAGCAUAACUGUCUCCUUUAUAAUAAUAUAAAUUAACCUUCAGGUGAAGAGGCCUGAAUCCAUUUAAAAGACAAGAAGACCCUGUCGAGCUUUAUUCUCAUAAAAUAAAAACUAUAAUCUAAAAUCAUACAUGAAUUUUGUUGGGGCGACAAAGGAACAAAUUUAACUUCCUUAUUUAAUAAAGAUUAUUUAUCAAGCUAUAGACCCAUUCCAUGAUCUCUAAUUUAAGCUACCGCAGGGAUAACAGUCUUAUUUCCCCCAAGAGCCCACAUCUACGGGGAAGUUUAGCACCUCGAUGUUGGCUUAGGAAUUCUAUUAAAUGUAGCCGUUUAACUAGAAGGUUUGUUCAACCUUUAAAAUCCUACAUGAG